rnacentral:rRNA from 1 species
UUACUGCGGAGACAUUAUCGAGUUUUGAACGGGUUGUCUGCUGGCUCGCGAGAGCAUGUGCACGCCUGUCUUCAUCCACUCUCAACUUCUGUGCACUUUUCAUAGGCCGGCUUGUGGGUGCACGUUCGCGUGCGUCUGUAGGUCUGGUUUAUGCUUUACUACAAACGAAUCAGUUUUAGAAUGUCAUACUUUGCUAUAACGCAAUUAUAUACAACUUUCAGCAACGGAUCUCUUGGCUCUCGCAUCGAUGAAGAACGCAGCGAAAUGCGAUAAGUAAUGUGAAUUGCAGAAUUCAGUGAAUCAUCGAAUCUUUGAACGCACCUUGCGCUCCUUGGUAUUCCGAGGAGCAUGCCUGUUUGAGUCUCAUGGAAUUCUCAACCUUCGACUUUGUUGUCGGAGGCUUGGACUUGGAGGUCGUGUCGGCUCUCGUAGUCGACUCCUCUGAAAUGCAUUAGUGCGAACGUUACCAGCCGCUUCAGCGUGAUAAUUAUCUGCGUUGCUGUGGAGGGUAUGCUAGUGUUCGCGCUUCUAACCGUCUUCGGACAACAUUUCUAAACUCUGAGCUCAAAUCAGGUAGGACUACCCGCUGAACUUAAGCAUAUCAAAAGCCGGGAAGGAAUGA